UGUUAAAAAUUUUAUCCAUUUAUACUGUUAAAAACUGACAUGGCUGAUAGAAUAACUAGAUAGUGACACGUAGUAUGCCAUGUGUACCUCAUGCUGACGUACAUUAAUCAAUUUUAACUGCAAAAAUGGAUGAUAUUUUUAAUA
rfam:Gossypium hirsutum cultivar TM-1 chromosome 10, whole genome shotgun sequence